rnacentral:lncRNA from 1 species
UACUUGGUCCAAAAGUAAACUAAUUAAUUAUAAAAUUACACAUAAAUAAUAAAAGAUAUCCUAAAACUAUCUAAAUAAGAAAAUAACAAUAUAUCAUAAAAUAAUUAAUUAAAUGAUAAAUAUCUAUCUUGAUCCACCUCCAGCAUCCUGGGGGUUCUCUGUUUCACUCUGGAUGGGGCUCUGUAAUUGAUUCUCUGCAAAUUGGGCACGUUCUUGUUGUUUUGCCAUUCAUUAUUGAUCAGCCUUUGAAUGCAAGGCUUCUGGUGGAAAAGGAUCUGGCUGUUGAAGUAAAACGCACAGAAGAUUGGUCGUUUUGCAAAGAUGAUAUAGCCAAAACAUUGAGACAUGCAAUGGUGGCAGAGGACGGAGAGAAGCUAAGAAGCAAUGCAAGGAAAGCUGCCAAAGUUUUUGGAGUCACAAGCUCCACCAAGACGACUACAUUGGCCAAUUUGUCCUUACCUUAAAAAUAAUGUUACAACUUACUAGUAGGUCAUUUUAGAAGCUCAUUAUUAAUUUUUAUCUAAUAAAUCUAGAAUGUUACCCAAAUUAGUUUCAGAUCAUAAGCAUGGUUGAGAUAUCUUUGUGCUUAAAGAUUCUGGAACUUGGGUUAUUGCCAUUCUAGUAUUUUUAGUGCAUCUUGUGAUCUAAAAUCUGUCUAGAAAGUAUGUUUCUGUUGCUCUUGAGUUCAUGCCUAUGUCUGAAAUAAUAAUUAUGGGUUAUUUACAAGUCUCUCUCUCUCUCUCUCUCUCUCUCUCUCUCUCUCUCUCUCUCUCUCUCUCUCUCUCUCUCUCUCUCUCUCUCUUCCUUUGAGUUUCUGUUAGCUCCUACAUGAAGCACAUCCACAUAAAUAAAUAAAAACAUUUUUUACAUUUUUUGCAUUCAAUUGCAUGUCACCAACAAUAAACCUUGCGGUCCCAAGGAAAGCAUUUGUGGGUUUGGGGCACCCAACAAUAAACCUUGCGGUCCCAAGGAAAGCAUUUGUAACUUUCAAUUAUAUGGACGUUUCUUGGAAUAGCCAUAGAUCAAGAAAUGGAUGAAUUUGGAUUCACUGUUUUACUGGGUAUUGCUUGAUUUUGAACUUAUACUAUAGUUUAGGGUUUAAAAAACCAAGAAGUACUAUAGAAAAAGAAAAUCCAAAUUCCAAAGAUCACCAAUAAAGCUUUGUACCAUGAAGUUCGAAACUGAGACUACUAAAAAAGGGUGCUCAUGAGCUCUUAAACACCUCUAUGAUAUGCUAUUUUUUCAAUAUGGGAUCUUGAGUCCUAACAGUUAUAUCUUUCGUAAUAGAAUUUAUUCAAACGUAUGACAUGCAAUAAUAACAAUAACGAAGAUCAAGAACAGAAAUUCAUAAACAAAAUUCUCUCAAAUGCCCUGAAAAGUUCGGUUUCCAUUAUUUGAUUAUUUUGCAAAUAUAACAGGGAAGAUCUUGAUAAACAGAGCAAUGAAGAACACACGAAGAUCACUCUCAUACAGCCUCUGUCUUUUAGAAGAACAAAUCAAGAGCACAGAACAAAGAAUAGAAUGGAGCACAGCAGACUAGUACCUGGAAUGAGUUCUAGAAAGAAAGGAGGAAAUGGAUGAUCUUUUUGCAACAUUAUUUUUCAGAAAAACAGGCCAAUGUACCGUGUACGUAGUGGUCCAGGUACAGCAUGUGAUCUCCAAAAACAACUUCAUUGGUUCUCAGCUGCUCUCCUUCCUCUGCGGCGGGAGAAAAUAAGUUUUUCUCAUCAACCCACCCCGUCAGACAGACAGUUGGUGUGGACAACUAUCAUCUUUAUUUGUUCUAUUAUUUCUAAGAAGAGAAUCGUGCUUAGACAGGAACCAAGUAUUGUCCAAUUGUGUCG